GUGGGGAAUAUUGGACAAUGGGCGAAAGCCUGAUCCAGCCAUGCCGCGUGUGUGAAGAAGGUCUUCGGAUUGUAAAGCACUUUAAGUUGGGAGGAAGGGCAGUAAGUUAAUACCUUGCUGUUUUGACGUUACCAACAGAAUAAGCACCGGCUAACUUCGUGCCAGCAGCUGCGGUAAUACGAAGGGUGCAAGCGUUAAUCGGAAUUACUGGGCGUAAAGCGCGCGUAGGUGGUUCAGCAAGUUGAAGGUGAAAUCCCCGGGCUCAACCUGGGAACUGCCUCCAAAACUACUGAGCUAGAGUACGGUAGAGGGUAGUGGAAUUUCCUGUGUAGCGGUGAAAUGCGUAGAUAUAGGAAGGAACACCAGUGGCGAAGGCGACUACCUGGACUGAUACUGACACUGAGGUGCGAAAGCGUGGGGAGCAAACAGGAUUAGAUACCCGGGUAGUCC
rnacentral:rRNA from 1 species